rnacentral:rRNA from 1 species
GACAGAGGGGGCAAGCGUUGCUCGGAAUUACUGGGCGUAAAGGGCGCGUAGGCGGAAUGGCAAGUCGGUCGUGAAAUCCUUCGGCUCAACCGAAGAACGUCGAUCGAAACUGCCGUUCUUGAGGAUUGCAGAGGAGACUGGAAUUCCCGGUGUAGCGGUGAAAUGUGUAGAGAUCGGGAGGAACACCCGUGGCGAAAGCGGCUCUCUGGAACGGUACUGACGCUGAGACGCGAAAGCGUGGGGAGCGAACAGG